rnacentral:lncRNA from 1 species
AUUAAAUAGUCCUUAUUUGAAGAUAAUUUUUAUUCUAAGCUCCAAACCAAUGGCAAUUGGCAGGAACUUGCUAAGCUCACAUGGGACAUUUGAGCUUUAGUGAAGAAUGACUGCAGUUUGCUUUCUGAGUAGAAUACGGAAAACAAUAAGCUACAAAUAGAUGUAACUCGCAUUUCCCAAGGGAGAGCAUUCGCUGAAGUGUAAAACGGAGAAAAUAAAAAUAACUUCAAAGAAAGCUGGAAGCAAGGAAGCCAGGAGAUUAGCAGGGAUAAAAUGAACAAUUGGGAGAAUGCCUACAAUAUCACAACUCUCAUAUCACAUCAAUUUUCCUCAGAUUCAUCUAACUCAGUGAUUCCGUCUCAUAAUGCCCGUGAACUCUGGAGGGGUUCUUAUUAUAUUUGAUGCUAUGGUGCUACAGAACAUCGGAAAAAGAAAAGAAGAAGGAGAAGGAGAAGGAGAAGAAGAAAGCGAAUGAUAGUUGCACUGAUAAAAGAAUGCUAAAAGAACAGUGAAUCCUUUCUGUUGUUGAGCCCACUUCAGAAAUGAACUAUGAUUAUCCAGGCUAUGAUUUUCUUAAGGUCGAGUGGAAUCAAGACAUAGAAUAAAACUAAAAUAAACCACUGGCAGCAGCCACUGAAAUUUCCAGUUCUCAAAACAGCUUUCUAUAACCAGAGUAGGAUUUUUGCUUAGAUUUUCAAUUCUGUCUAGCCUCCCCAGGUAGACAGAGGCUAAGGGGUUGGGCAAUUGAGAUAACUGAAAGGAAAACAUUUUACAAGAAGUAAAGCUAGUAACUAGCAUGUAAGGUUUUUUUUUUAAAUUUGAUAAUCCAACUAUUUUAAAUUAAACCUAAUAUACAGAGAUGUGUAAAAUGUGACUCACUACUGAUAUUCUUACUAUUUUUUUGUUUAGAGAACACAG